CGCGAGCAGGUGCGAAAGCAGGUCAUAGUGAUCCGGUGGUUCUGAAUGGAAGGGCCAUCGCUCAACGGAUAAAAGGUACUCCGGGGAUAACAGGCUGAUACCGCCCAAGAGUUCAUAUCGACGGCGGUGUUUGGCACCUCGAUGUCGGCUCAUCACAUCCUGGGGCUGAAGUAGGUCCCAAGGGUAUGGCUGUUCGCCAUUUAAAGUGGUACGCGAGCUGGGUUUAGAACGUCGUGAGACAGUUCGGUCCCUAUCUGCCGUGGGCGCUGGAGAACUGAGGGGGGCUGCUCCUAGUACGAGAGGACCGGAGUGGACGCAUCACUGGUGUUCGGGUUGUCAUGCCAAUGGCACUGCCCGGUAGCUAAAUGCGGAAGAGAUAAGUGCUGAAAGCAUCUAAGCACGAAACUUGCCCCGA
rnacentral:rRNA from 2 species